UUUUUUUUAGGUGAAAGACCUGAUGAGAGGUGAACUGCAUGGUUUUGAACACCUGGAUUUAGUAGGCCCCUAACAUAUUUAUUUAGUUCUUGUUAAAAUUUGGACUUGGAAUGUCCCCUAGAGGCUCAUGUGUUGAAGGCUUGGUCCCCACUGCAGCAAGAUACAGAGGUUGGGCUUUUGGAAAGUGAUUGGAUCCCGACGGCUCUGACCUUACCAACAGUCCAAUCCAUUGAUGGAUCCAUGGCUGAAUGGACCGUUGGGGGGUGGUGGAAACUGUAGGGGUGGGCCUAGUUGGAGAAAUAGGUCACUGAGGGCAUGCCCUAGAAGAGGACAUCUUGUCCUGGCCCCUUCCUUACUCUGUCUCUGCUUUCAAGCCACCACAAAUGAGCAGCUCUGCUCUGCUACAUGUUCCUUGACUUGAUGUUCUGACUCAUGACAGGUCCAGAGUGAUCAUCAUAGAAACCAUGCCAUCACAGAAACCAAGUGAUCAUGGACUGAAACCUCUGAAAAUGUGAACCAGAAUAAACCUUUCUUCUAUUAAAUUGUUUUCUCAGAUAUUUUAUUACAGUAAUGAAAAGCUAACUAAUACAUUCUCAUAACAAUUGUAGAAAGUAAAUAUCAUUAUUCCUAUCAUACAGAUUUGAAGAUAGUGGCU
rnacentral:lncRNA from 1 species